rnacentral:rRNA from 1 species
UACGAAGGGUGCAAGCGUUACUCGGAAUUACUGGGCGUAAAGCGUGCGUAGGUGGUUCGUUAAGUCUGUCGUGAAAGCCCCGGGCUCAACCUGGGAAUGGCGAUGGAUACUGGCGGGCUAGAGUGCGGUAGAGGGUGGUGGAAUUCCCGGUGUAGCAGUGAAAUGCGUAGAGAUCGGGAGGAACAUCAGUUGCGAAGGCGGCCACCUGGACCAGCACUGACACUGAGGCACGAAAGCGUGGGUAGCAAACGGG